ensembl:lncRNA
AUCACUUGCCCCGAACAGAGCACAGGAUCUCGUGCUGUGGAUUUGUGCAUGUGGUUUGCAGACCAGCUGCAGAAGCCAGAGACCUCUUAGAACUGCAGCUACCAGCCCGGCCCUCUCUGAUGCGCACACUUCAGGGCGUUCAGUACACCGAGAGUGCGGGGCAGCCAUCACCACCGUCAUCUGCAGAACUCUUCCUCUUGCCGGACUGCGACUCCAGGCCCAGCAGGUACCGCUCCCUGCCCCUCCCCCCACCCCAGCCCCCGGUAGCCACCAUUCCACUCUCUGUUGCUGUGAAUUUGACAGCUCCGGGAACCUCAUGUAUGCAGUCAUAGGGUAUUUGUCCUUUUGGAUUUGGCUCAUUUCACUUAGAAUAAUGUCUUCACAAUUCAUCCACCUUGUAGCGCGUAUCAGAACAUUUUCUUGUGUGUCUGUGGAAUAUUCCAUCAUACAGGUAGACCACAUUUUGUUUUGUU